GCCCUGUGGGUACUGGAUGCUGUUGUGCAGGCAUAGCUCUCCAGGGCAUGUGAGGAGCCAAAGCAAUCCUGUGAUUUAUGCAUGGAGGCUGUUUCUCUGCAGUAGCCACCAUAGCCCUGUCACUGAUACAUGG
rfam:Pteropus alecto contig101696, whole genome shotgun sequence.